rnacentral:siRNA from 1 species
UGAAGUAACCAUUUCUCGCUGC